AUUCCAGCUCCAAUAGCGUAUAUUAAAGUUGUUGCAGUUAAAAAGCUCGUAGUUGGAUUUCUGGUCUGAUGCCCUGGAUCACGCUCGUUUCGAGUGUGUUUGCCGGUCGUGCGUCUACCAUCCUUCCAGGGAACGUGUCUACCUUUAACUAGGACGGGCACGGGAUCUGGAUCUUUUACUUUGAAAAAAUUAGAGUGUUUAAAGCAGGCUUUGGCUAUGAAUACAUUAGCAUGGAAUAAUAAUCUAGGACUUCGGUUCUAUUUUGUUGGUUUCUAGUACUGAAGUAAUGAUUGAUAGGGAUAGUUGGGGGUGCUAGUAUUGAGCGGCCAGAGGUGAAAUUCUUGGAUUCGCUCAAGACUAACUUAUGCGAAAGCAUUCACCAAGGAUGUCUUCAUCG
rnacentral:rRNA from 1 species